rnacentral:rRNA from 1 species
GACGAACGCUGGCGGCGUGCCUAAUACAUGCAAGUCGAGCGGACCAAAGGGAGCUUGCUCCUGGAGGUUAGCGGCGAACGGGUGAGUAACACGUGGGCAACCUGCCUGUAAGACUGGGAUAACAUCGAGAAAUCGGUGCUAAUACCGGAUAAUAAAAAGAACUGCAUGGUUCUUUUUUGAAAGAAUGGUUUCGGUCUAUCACUUACAGAUGGGCCCGCGGCGCAUUAGCUAGUUGGUGAGGUAACGGCUCACCAAGGCGACGAUGCGUAGCCGACCUGAGAGGGUGAUCGGCCACACUGGGACUGAGACACGGCCCAGACUCCUACGGGAGGCAGCAGUAGGGAAUCUUCCGCAAUGGACGAAAGUCUGACGGAGCAACGCCGCGUGAGUGAUGAAGGUUUUCGGAUCGUAAAACUCUGUUGUUAGGGAAGAACAAGUGCCGUUCGAAAGGGCGGCACCUUGACGGUACCUAACGAGAAAGCCACGGCUAACUACGUGCCAGCAGCCGCGGUAAAG